UGGACUUGUGGCUAUGAUUCCUUGAUAAGAUGAUAUGUUCAACCAUGUUUGCUUUAGAAACUCAGGCAAACCUAGUUGUAGCUGUCAACUCAACUUGUGCUAAAAGAAUGAAAGUAAGGACCCAAUAAUAGCGGCUUUUCAGCAAAAGAACUACAGAGCCAAAGAGCCUUGCAUGUAUAGGAGUCGGCUAAGUAUAUACCAAUAGUCGGGUAAGCCUUGCUGAGUAUUAGUAUACUUAGUGUUUGUUGUCACCCUGUUUUCAGGUAAUUGCUGCUGGUGGGAGCUAAUCAGGAUUCACAUUGGAGCAGCCAAUACAUCUCGGGCCAUACGUGCUACAAUCGGGUACUUUGUUGUGUGCAUCUUCCACCAGUGCAAGAUAUCGAAGAUGUCAUUGUCACAUGGAAAUAGAUCAUCAUGAAGAUAUCUGUCGAGUUCCCUGGUGACUUGAUUGCUUUCAACACUCACAUGUGUACUCCAAUCAGCUCAGUGACCUUUUAGUGAAGAUGCAGUGCCAUUUCCUUGAGUAGAAGACUGCAAUGACUCUCCCGUUUCAGAUGAGUAACCAUUGAACAAACUUCUUAUAGCUCUAUCUACUUUAGCAAUAUGAACACUUGCGUUGUCUCCAAAAGUAAGUUUGUGAAGCCAACUCCAUCUGCAAAGAAGAAAAUGCAACAUUAUUUCAAGAUAAUGAUGCAAUUAACAAAAACAAAAUUCACCACUUCAGCAAAUGAUGCAAAAAAGACUCCCCUUUCAUGCAUCUGCAUCUCAAAUCAAAUAGUUAAAUGUACUAGCAAGUAUGAAGCUAUAUUUCUAUUAAAAAAUCUAACACUUCUGUAAAUCAACAAUACUCUCAAACAAAACAAGCAAAAACAGAUUGCCCAGAAACCUCUGGAAGCAUAACAGAGCUACCAUUUCCAUUAGCAUGCUGAACUUUAUCUGAAGCUGCUAUCAGAGAAUAAUAAAUAAUCACUAAUCUGAAGCUGCUAUCGACAAUAGCAUGCCACAAGAACAGAAAGAUGCCGAUCAGUAACUGCAGAUACCAUUUCCAUUAGACUAAUGUAAUUUUGCUCUAGUCUUCUCUUUCAAUACUAAUGUAAUUUUACUCUGCUACUUUUGCCUCUUAUCCACAGCAUCUCUAUGUGCCUCCUAACUAAACCAAGAUACUACUUUUGUUCUACUACUUUUCGCUGGAAUAGCCAAGCUUCCUCUCUGGACUCUGCAGUAGUCCUAUCUGGAAUAGUCCUGCUCUACUAUUUUUCAACCAGCUGCAUCAACAAUCAAACAAAGUCAUACAUGACCAAAAAAAAAGAAAGGAAGUCGUAUAUUGUUGCAACUCUGCAGGACUGCAUUGCAGUCUGAAAGUCUGAAAGGCGAUAUAUAGGUCCUCUGAACGAAACUCUUCCUUCUCUGUUGUAUUCAUUCAAAUCAAUCUGAUGCAUGUAACCCUAUUCAAAUCAAGAUAUCUGCAAUCGGUUAUUUAAGAAGCAAUAUGUUGCCUGCUGAUUUACAGCGACCUAUUUCCUAUCUAACAGUUACCCUAGCCUCUCUUCUGAUGCAUGUAACCCUAGGCAUCCAACUAAUGAGUCAAGCACAGGUGAAUAAGGCUGAAUGCUUACAGUCAUCUAGAGAAAAAAUCCACCUAUCUAAGAACCCACGCAUGACGCAUCCACAAAUUGUUUACCUGUUCUUGAACCGUGCAGGUAGAGGGAGGCCGGGAAGGAGAAGAUUCGGUGGCCUGGCGCAACAAGAACUGUGCAGGUCCGGAGGGCAUCGUGGCGCCAUGAAUUAGAGGCGGCCGUGCUUCGGUUUGCUGCGCACGGGACGGCGCGGGCACAGAUGCAAGGGUAGCCGCGCGGACUGCUGGGGAGGGAGGGAGGGAGGGCAGCGCCGGGGAUUUUGCGGAGUUCUGCAUCGCCGGAGUGAGGGAGGGGGCGGCGCGGACUGCAGGAGGGAGGGAGGAGGCGGCGCGGACUGCAGCAGGAGGGAGGGGGCGGCGGCGGCGGCGCGCAAGGCGCGAUGCCGAUGCGUCUGCGCCCCGAGCCCCCGAUGCACAGGGAAGGGAAAAGGAAGAGAAGGGAAGGGAAAAGUAAGGUGGGCUGGCCUGCAGAACCCACUAGGCUUGGCGGGCUGUACAUUUGAGGUCCAUUUGCAAAAUGCGGGCUGUGGCAGGUGUUUGAAAAUGUGUUUUUGCAGGGUGGUGGUUGCAGACAACCAGGCACCCGCACCUGCCUACAUCCUGAGGUUUAGUUCCUGGAUUGGAUGCGGGUCCUCGUCAUCUGCGACCCCAACCUUGGCCGGCGGCCGUCCAGGCGAUGAACAUCGACGGUGUCUUGUUGAACCGGAUCUGCUGGUGCCCCCGCUCCCACCACGUCAGCAGGGCCUGCGCUGGCGACCUGCUGCUCGUCGUCCUGCACGAGGACAUCGGCCGCCGCCACCCGUCGUCCUUCGCCGAGAUCAACAAGCUGGGGCCAGCGGCGGGUGGAGAUCGGCGCCAGGUGACGGACCCUUUGUGCCGAGGAAUUCCCACUUCCCACGGCCCUGGUAGCUUGGCCGCUCGCUGACUGAUUGGGCAUUCGUGUUCGACCUGGGUUCAGAUACUCUGAAGGAUCCGUGCAUGUAUUUCUAUGCUAAUUUUGCUUAGCUUCUAUAAUCUGAAAUCAUCAACAAAUCUGUAUUCCUACGCUACUUCGGCUAAGCUUCUAUGAUAUGAAAUCAUGAACAAAUUUGACUAUAUUCCUAUGCUAUUUAGGCUAAGGUUCUAUGAUCUGAAAUUAUCAACAAAUUGUUGGACUCGUCA